AGCGGUUCAAGCAGAAGCGGAAGUGAUCGCAGAUGGAUGAGUUUACGGAUCACGAAGUUUCGAGUGUAAAUAAGAGAAUUAACAGCAGCGAAAGAGUCACUGCAAGGAAAAUAAAAAGGAAACAACGCAAACGUCAGUGCAAGAGCAAAGAGCUACCUCCCAAAAUGCUAUCUGUUUUCAAUCAACUGGAAAAAGAAUUGGUUGCACUCUAUCUGAGAGAUUUCCCUCAAACCCAGAAGCGCGUGCAGAGAGUGUGUCUUAUCAUCGGGACAUUUGAAGAAGAUUUCAGACGUGCUACUGGAGUCAUUACACACGCAUUAAAUGCAGAAGUGGCUGGAGGGUUGAUGAUGGGUUUGGGGUUAGUUUUAGCUCCAGUUCAUCAGGGCAUUUCUGCUCUUAUCGCAGGAGCGGGAGCAGCUGUGGUUUCAGGCGCUGCACUCUGUGAUACAAUCUGGAACAAGAAGAUCGUGAGCCUGCAGGCAAAAAUAAUACAAGACACUGAAGCUGAACUGAGCGAAUUUCAGCAUAAAAUCAGCCCUAUGCUGGACAAGAUGAAUGAGAUCAGUCAGCACGUUUAUGAAAUAUUGAGAGACCUCAGUUACCCAGGGCGUGAUGUUGGGUAUUUAAGUCAAUAUUUUUCAUCUGCCAGUGAAUUAGUGCGUUUCAUACAGAUAUAUGACAUUAGUGUGUUGGCUGCGCAGAUAAAUUCUCAGACAUCAUGUUUGCUCGGAGCUCGAUUUAUCAGAGUUAUGCCAGCUAGAAUGGCACUCCAGCAGAUGUGGAUAGAAAUGGUUCAGAUACAGAAUGCCAUGGAUGAAAUUACUAAAACAAUAGAAAGAAUAGCAAAUCAGCCCGACUAAAUAUAAUAAUAUGAAGGGCUAAACGAAACAAGAAAGCUCUUUGACUAUUACUGGGAUAUAGAGACUAUAGAAUUUAAUGUCUAUUUGUUGGUAUACAUUUACGUGUAAGAUUACAAACACUGCUCUUGCUCUGCAUUGUCGAUCAAGUAGUUGGGGACACUAGAUAUUCAAAAAUGUUUUUUUUUUUUUUUUUAUGCCCGCAUUGACACCAAUUGUAUGCGAACUUAACUGAGCUGGACGAUGACAUCACUCUCUUCUCCAGUGCUGAUACAUAGAUAAAUAACUAUUGAUUUCUACAACGGAAUUAAUCAAUACUGAAUCUAUUUAAGCUGGACAAUGGCACAAUUUUCUUCUAGAGCUGCUGUGCAGUUAUCUCUGUAAAGCUGCUUUGACGAUCUGCAUCGCUGUAAUAAAGGUGACUUGACAUUAUGCA
ensembl:lncRNA